AGAGUUUGAUCAUGGCUCAGAUUGAACGCUGGCGGCAUGCUUUACACAUGCAAGUCGAACGGCAGCACGGAGAGCUUGCUCUCUGGUGGCGAGUGGCGAACGGGUGAGUAAUGCAUCGGAACGUACCGAGUAAUGGGGGAUAACUGUCCGAAAGGAUGGCUAAUACCGCAUACGCCCUGAGGGGGAAAGCGGGGGAUCUUAGGACCUCGCGUUAUUUGAGCGGCCGAUGUUGGAUUAGCUAGUUGGUGGGGUAAAGGCCUACCAAGGCGACGAUCCAUAGCGGGUCUGAGAGGAUGAUCCGCCACAUUGGGACUGAGACACGGCCCAAACUCCUACGGGAGGCAGCAGUGGGGAAUAUUGCACAAUGGGGGAAACCCUGAUGCAGCCAUGCCGCGUGUAUGAAGAAGGCCUUCGGGUUGUAAAGGACUUUUGUUAGGGAAGAAAAGCCGGGUGCUAAUACCACCUGGUGCUGACGGUACCUAAAGAAUAAGCACCGGCUAACUACGUGCCAGCAGCCGCGGUAAUACGUAGGGUGCGAGCGUUAAUCGGAAUUACUGGGCGUAAAGCGAGCGCAGACGGUUAGAUAAGUCAGAUGUGAAAUCCCCGAGCUCAACUUGGGACGUGCAUUUGAAACUGUCUAACUAGAGUGUGUCAGAGGGAGGUAGAAUUCCACGUGUAGCAGUGAAAUGCGUAGAGAUGUGGAGGAAUACCGAUGGCGAAGGCAGCCUCCUGGGAUAACACUGACGUUCAUGCUCGAAAGCGUGGGUAGCAAACAGGAUUAGAUACCCUGGUAGUCCACGCCGUAAACGAUGGAUACUCGUUGUUGGGGGUUAGCCCUCAGUGACUAAGCGAAAGUAAUAAGUAUCCCACCUGGGGAGUACGACCGCAAGGUUGAAACUCAAAUGAAUUGACGG
rnacentral:rRNA from 2 species